GCUUACUUGAACAGAUGGUAGCCUGGGGUUUGUACACGUUGCGUUCCUUUUCUUGCGUUCCUUUUCUUUUGCUUGUGCCACGUAUUAAACAACUGUAUUCCUUUCUUUUUAAUUGCUCCGCUUCAGACUCACGCAUUCCAUCUCCUCUCACUGAACUCAAUCCACCGCUCAUCUUUCCGACCGCCUCUGUUCCAUCAGAUUCCACCACCGCUGCUAUGUCCUCCGUUUCUACUCUGUUCGAAGCCAGAGUUGAACGAGAUGUUGAUCGAGGCAUGGAUCGAGAAGUGAUUGAAAUAAUUAUUCAGAAAUAGCUAAGUUGUGUUGCAAGUUGAAGUUAGGCAGAGAUUGCUAUAGAUAGAAUCUUGUCAGAAGCUGGCAGAAAGGAAUGAUAUGGCACUACAUAGUGUUAUUAGAAAUCUGAGCUAGACACCGGACUUAAGAUAAUGUUAAAGAUGGUUCGCCUAUUUAGGCUAAGCAUAAGAGUAAGGUUAGGCGAGGAUUGCAAGUGACUAAGUUUCAACCUGAUGGUCAGGAAGAGUAUCCAAGAUCGAGUCUUUGGGACUAGUGGUAAUUAGAGUUGUCUAAACUUGAUUUAGUUGUAAAAACAUGUAAUAAGAUUUAUUAGUUUUACUUUUCUGAUUUCAAUACUAUAGCCUGUUUGCGAUCCUGUUUUAAAGGGGGUUAAACUUUGUUUUUUAAAAUCUUUUAUUAAAGCUUUUAGGUUUUAAA